rnacentral:rRNA from 1 species
ACGUAGGUGACAAGCGUUGUCCGGAUUUACUGGGCGUAAAGAGCGCGCAGGCGGUCGAUCAAGUCGAGUGUGAAAGCCCCCGGCUCAACUGGGGAGGGUCAUUCGAUACUGAUCGACUCGAAGGCAGGAGAGGGUAGUGGAAUUCCCGGUGUAGUGGUGAAAUGCGUAGAUAUCGGGAGGAACACCAAUGGCGAAGGCAGCUCGCUGGGACGUGACUGACGCUGAGACGCGAAAGCGUGGGGAGCAAACAGGA